UACGUAGGGUGCAAGCGUUAAUCGGAAUUACUGGGCGUAAAGCGUGCGCAGGCGGUUUUGUAAGUUUGUCGUGAAAUCCCCGGGCUCAACCUGGGAAUGGCGAUGAAGACUGCAAGGCUAGAAUCUGGCAGAGGGGGGUAGAAUUCCACGUGUAGCAGUGAAAUGCGUAGAGAUGUGGAGGAACACCGAUGGCGAAGGCAGCCUCCUGGGCCAACACUGACGCUCAU
rnacentral:rRNA from 1 species